GACGUAGGGGGCAAGCGUUGUCCGGAUUUACUGGGCGUAAAGAGCGCGUAGGCGGUCUGUUAAGUGUAGAGUGAAAGCUCCGGGCUCAACCCGGAAACCGCUCUGCAUACUGGCAGACUGGAGGGACGCAGAGGUCUGUGGAAUUCCUGGUGUAACGGUGAAAUGUGUUGAUAUCAGGAGGAACACCCAUGGCGAAGGCAGCAGACUGGGCGUUUCCUGACGCUGAGGCGCGAAAGCGUGGGUAGCGAAUGGG
rnacentral:rRNA from 1 species